GACGAACGCUGGCGGCGUGCUUAACACAUGCAAGUCGAACGGAAAGGCCCUGCUUUUGUGGGGUGCUCGAGUGGCGAACGGGUGAGUAACACGUGAGUAACCUGCCCUUGACUUUGGGAUAACUUCAGGAAACUGGGGCUAAUACCGGAUAGGAGCUCCUGCUGCAUGGUGGGGGUUGGAGAGUUUCGGCGGUUGGGGAUGGACUCGCGGCUUAUCAGCUUGUUGGUGGGGUAGUGGCUUACCAAGGCUUUGACGGGUAGCCGGCCUGAGAGGGUGACCGGCCACAGUGGGACUGAGAUACGGCCCAGACUCCUACGGGAGGCAGCAGUGGGGAAUAUUGCACAAUGGGCGGAAGCCUGAUGCAGCAACGCCGCGUGCGGGAUGACGGCCUUCGGGUUGUAAACCGCUUUCGCCUGUGACGAAGCGUGAGUGACGGUAAUGGGUAAAGAAGCACCGGCUAACUACGUG
rnacentral:rRNA from 1 species